GAUGAACGCUAGCGGCAGGCUUAAUACAUGCAAGUCGAGGGGCAGCACGUCCCGUAGCGAUACGGGAUGGUGGCGACCGGCAAACGGGUGCGGAACACGUACGCAACCUUCCCGAAACAGGUGAAUAGCCCUCCGAAAGGAGGAUUAAUACACCGUAAGAUAUAGCUGUGGCAUCACAAUUAUAUUAUAGGCCGCGAGGUCGGUUUUGGAUGGGCGUGCGCCUGAUUAGGUAGUUGGUGCGGGUAACGGCCCACCAAGCCUUCGAUCAGUAACUGGUGUGAGAGCACGACCAGUCACACGGGCACUGAGACACGGGCCCGACUCCUACGGGAGGCAGCAGUAAGGAAUAUUGGUCAAUGGACGCAAGUCUGAACCAGCCAUGCCGCGUGAAGGAUGAAGGCCCUCUGGGUUGUAAACUUCUUUUAUCUGGGACGAAAAAAGGGAAUUCUUUCUCACUUGACGGUACCAGAGGAAUAAGCACCGGCUAACUCCGUGCCAGCAGCCGCGGUAAUACGGAGGGUGCAAGCGUUAUCCGGAUUUGCUGGGUUUAAAGGGUGCGUAGGUGGGUAGGUAAGUCAGUGGUGAAAUCUCCGGGCUUAACCCGGAAACUGUCAUUGAUACUAUUUAUCUUGAAUACUUUGGAGGUAAGCGGAAUAUGUCAUGUAGCGGUGAAAUGCUUAGAUAUGACAUAGAACACC
rnacentral:rRNA from 1 species